UACGUAGGGUCCGAGCGUUGUCCGGAGUUACUGGGCGUAAAGCGCGCGCAGGCGGUCCGCGAGGUGUCACGUGAAAGCCCCGGGCUCAACUCGGGAGGGUCGUGGCAAACCGGCGGACUUGAGGCCGGUAGAGGUGGGUGGAACUCCUGGUGGAGCGGUGAAAUGCGUAGAUAUCUGGAGGAACACCGGUGGCGAAGGCGGCAUCCUGGACCAACACUGACGCUGAUGAGCGAAAGCCAGGGGAGCAAACGGG
rnacentral:rRNA from 1 species